rnacentral:lncRNA from 10 species
ACUUGGAAGCAGCCUGAGGCCCUCACCAGAAGCCCAGUCCUGAAACUUCCAGCCAGCAGAACUGUGAGCUGAAUAAACUUCUUUUCUCUAUAAAUUACCCAGCUUCAAGUCCUCCUUUAUAGCAACAAUAAAUGGACUAAGAGGGGCUCUAAUCCCAUUCAUGAGGGUUCCACCCUCACGACCUAAUCACCUCCACAGGACCCACCACCAAAUAGCAUCACCUUGGGGGUUAAGGCUUCAUAUACGACUUUGGUGGGGAUGUAAAGAUUCCAUUCAUUGCACAGGGCAAAGGGAGGCCAUAGCAGCAGGGUCAUAGUGUUCUGGGGCUGCUCACUGCCCCUCACUCCCAGGCCUGCCCCACCCCAGCCAAGGCCUUCAUGCUGCUCUGGGCUACCUCUCCCAGGUCCUGCAUCCCAAGCAAAGGUACAGACUCAAUUGAGAUCUCCUGAGACUCACUCCCUGCCCCUGCAACAAGAUGGACAUGUCCUUGUCAAGUUCUUCUCUAGGAAAAUGUGGGCAUCACAUAGAGACUCGUACCUACCUGUGCAGAGGUUUUCCAGAGCCUCGAUCACCCCCUCUGUCUCAUCAUUGGUUUCUGGCUUCAGUCUCACCUUCUUGGUGAUGUCUUUGUCCCUGUGUCAUUCUAAUCAAAGUAGCUCCCCAGUCCCCACUGUGUCUCUCCAUCUUACUCCUCAGUUUUAGUUCCUUCAGAACAAUUGUGACCAGAGCAAUUGCCUGAAUUAUUCACUUAUUUUGUGGUAUGUUUUCAUAUUUAUUGACUGAUUUCUCCAACACUAAUCAC